CAACGGGAAGCGAAGCCGCGAGGUGGAGCAAAUCCCCAAACACGGUCCCAGUUCAGAUUGCAGGCUGAAACCCGCCUGCAUGAAGACGGAAUUGCUAGUAAUCGCGGAUCAGCAUGCCGCGGUGAAUACGUUCCCGGGCCUUGUACACACCGCCCGUCACACCAUGAGAGUCGGUAACACCCGAAGCCUGUGAGCUAACCGUAAGGAGGCAGCAGUCGAAGGUGGGAUCGAUAAUUGGGGUGAAGUCGUAACAAGGUAAC
rnacentral:rRNA from 1 species